UACGAACCGUCCAAACGUUAUGCGGGUGUAUGGGGCUUAAAGGGUAUGUAGGCGGCCCUGUUAGUCGGGUGUGAAAGCCCUCGGCUCAACCGAGGAAUUGCGCGCGAUACUGCAGGGCUUGAGUGAGACAGGGGUAAGCGGAACUGAUGGUGGAGCGGUGAAAUGCGUUGAUAUCAUCAGGAACACCAGUGGCGAAAGCGGCUUACUGGGUCUCUUCUGACGCUGAGAUACGAAAGCUAGGGGAGCGAACGGG
rnacentral:misc_RNA from 1 species